rnacentral:rRNA from 1 species
UACGUAGGUGGCAAGCGUUGUCCGGAAUUAUUGGGCGUAAAGCGCGCGCAGGUGGUUCCUUAAGUCUGAUGUGAAAGCCCACGGCUCAACCGUGGAAGGUCAUUGGAAACUGGGGAACUUGAGUACAGAAGAGGAAAGUGGAAUUCCAAGUGUAGCGGUGAAAUGCGUAGAUAUUUGGAGGAACACCAGUGGCGAAGGCGGCAUCCUGGACCGGCAUUGACGCUGAGGCGCGAAAGCCAGGGGAGCAAACGGG